rnacentral:tRNA from 1 species
CGCGGAGUGGAGCAGUUGGCAGCUCGUCGGGCUCAUNGGGCUCAUAACCCGAAGGUCGUAGGUUCAAGUCCUGCCUCCGCAACCA